rnacentral:rRNA from 1 species
AGAGUUUGAUCCNGGCUCAGAACGAACGCUGGCGGCGUGCCUAACACAUGCAAGUCGAACGAGAAAGCGGGCUUCGGUCCGUUAGUAGAGUGGCAGACGGGUGAGUAACACGUGGGUAACCUGUCCGGAGGCGGGGGAUAACUCUCCGAAAGGAGUGCUAAUACCGCAUAAUACUCGUUGGGUUUCGGCUCGACGAAUCAAAGCUUGCCUCUACAUGUAAGCAAGCACCACCGGAGGGGCCCGCGCCCCAUUAGCUUGUUGGUGAGGUAACGGCUCACCAAGGCUGCGAUGGGUAGCCGGCCUGAGAGGGCGAUCGGCCACACUGGAACUGAGACACGGUCCAGACUCCUACGGGAGGCAGCAGUGAGGAAUUUUGCGCAAUGGGGGAAACCCUGACGCAGCGACGCCGCGUGGAGGACGAAGGCCUUCGGGUCGUAAACUCCUGUCAAGUGGGACGAAUCCGGAGGGAUGAAUAAGCUCUUCGGUUGACGGUACCAUUGAAGGAAGCCCCGGCUAACUCCGUGCCAGCAGCCGCGGUAAUACGGGGGGGGCUAGCGUUGUUCGGAAUUAUUGGGCGUAAAGGGCGCGUAGGCGGCCUGGUAAGUCGGACGUGAAAUCCCGCGGCUCAACCGCGGAACUGCUUUCGAAACUGCCAGGCUUGAGUCCCGGAGAGGGUGGCGGAAUUCCCAGUGUAGCGGUGAAAUGCGUANAUAUUGGGAGGAACACCAGUGGCGAAGGCGGUCA